ACUCCUACGGGAGGCAGCAGUGGGGAAUCUUGGACAAUGGGGGCAACCCUGAUCCAGCCAUGCCGCGUGAGUGAAGAAGGCCUUAGGGUCGUAAAGCUCUUUCGCCUGUGAAGAUAAUGACGGUAGCAGGUAAAGAAACCCGGCUAACUCCGUGCCAGCAGCCGCGGUAAUACGGAGGGGGUUAGCGUUGUUCGGAAUUACUGGGGCGUAAAGCGCGCGUAGGCGGACCAGAAAGUUGGGGGUGAAAUCCCCGGGGCUCAACCCCGGAACUGCCUCCAAAACUCCUGGUCUUGAGUUCGAGAGAGGUGAGUGGAAUUCCGAGUGUAGAGGUGAAAUUCGUAGAUAUUCGGAGGAACACCAGUGGCGAAGGCGGCUCACUGGCUCGAUACUGACGCUGAGGUGCGAAAGUGUGGGGAGCAAACAGGAUUAGAUACCCUGGUAGGACAGUG
rnacentral:rRNA from 1 species